CUUAGUGGCGGACGGGUGAGUAACGCGUGGGUAACCUGCCUUACACAGGGGGAUAACACUUAGAAAUAGGUGCUAAUACCGCAUAAGCGCACAGUCCCGCAUGGGACAGAGUGAAAAACAUUAGUGGUGUAAGAUGGACCCGCGUCUGAUUAGCUUGUUGGCGGGGUAACGGCCCACCAAGGCGACGAUCAGUAGCCGGCCUGAGAGGGUGGACGGCCACAUUGGGACUGAGACACGGCCCAAACUCCUACGGAAGGCAGCAG
rnacentral:rRNA from 1 species